AUAGUGCGUGGCUGGGAUGAGGGCGGCGCUCACGGUGAGGAAGCCCCGAGCUCCCGGGACGCAGACAGGGUGUGCAGGGCCGUAGCUCGGGCCUGUGUAUGCACCUGUGCGUGUGUGUUUGAUGCCAGGACAAGGCGGCGGUGUGCGCGGCGAGGAGGCUGCGACAGCUGUAUAGACCCCAGCUGCAGUGAAAUGGCCAUCAAAAAGGGAAGGGAUAAUCGAGUGGUGGAAUAAAAUCUGCAAACAGAAAAAGGACAGACCUGUUUUCGGAACGAGGCUUUUCGAGUUACCACCAUGACUGAAGGCUAAGAGCAACUUGCUUGCGCAUUAAAGAUCACUUGGAGAGAGAGGUCCAGUGAGCAACAACGGCCAGAAAUUUCAGGGAGACCAUCUUGAACCAUCCAGCCUCCACCAGGCCAACAGCUGACAGCUGUCACAUGAAUAUGAUCAGCAGAAGAACCACUCAGGCAAGCCAAGCCCAAAUUGCCAAGCCCCCCAAAUAAUAAGCUAAUUGUUUUUUGUUUUAAGCCAUAAACUUUUGAGGUGGUUAUAUAGCAAUAAAUAACUGAAACAGGUGUUUAACUUUCUAGACUUUUUAAAUGACCAUAUUGAUAUAAUUGUAUUGUUCAACCUGUUUUGUAAAGUGAUUUCUCUGAUACAGUAUCUUGAAAAUAUUCCUUAACUAUUUUCUACAACUUUGCAUUUGUCUAUCUUAGUAUUAUAUUACAUGGAUAUGUGGUAACUUAUUUAACUACUAACUUCCCUUUGCAAUUCCUUUUCCUUGCUGUCUAGCUCCCAUGUCUUGACCAACUUUGCAUUCCCCUCCAGGACCUUAUGGGCACAUGGGUUCCUAUCAUUUCACGGGUAUGUAGACUCAGGAAUGUGGCAUUGACUUCUGGGUGGAGUACAGAUGACUGACACCCCCACCCCGAUUCGGAGGAAUUAUUCAGGGGUGUGAUAUAACACCUACAUACAUUUAUUUAACUAGCCAAUUUGGUCUCCCCUUUUUUUGUUUUGAGACCGAGUCUUGCUCUGUCGCCCAGGCUGGAGUGCAGUGGCGUGAUCUCGACUUACUGCAACCUCCGCCUCCCAGGUUCAAGGGAUUCUCCUGCCUCAGCCUUCCGAGUAGCUGAGACUACAGGUGCCCACCACCAUGUCCGGAUAAUUUUUGUAUUUUUAGUAGACAUGGGGUUUCGCCAAGUUGGCCAGGCUGGUCUCAAACUCCUGACCUCACGUGAUCUGCCUGCCUCAGUCUCCCAAAGUGUUGGGAUUACAGGCAUGAGCCACCUCGGCCAGCCGGGUCUCCCUUUUUACAUCUGUUUUCCCCUUUCCAGUUCAAAUUCUGUAUUCUGGGAACAUCUUACUUUCUUCACCCUGAUUGAUUAGGGAAACUUCAGGGUUCUUAGGUAACUUUCUGAAGGACUGGUUUAAGAUUCCUAGAGUUGGAAAUGGGCGUCUCUCCUGUGUUAUUUCUAAAGUGUUAUCAUCCUAAUCCUUCAGAAUACUUUCUUGACUUCUUUCUGCUUGAUGAUUAAGGAAUGGUCUCAAUUCUCCAUAGCCACAUCAGACCAAAAUUCCAUUUCUUUGCCUAUGUGAAGGGUUUAUUAUUAAUUACCCUAUUAAUUUAUGUCCAAACCAGAUGUGAUUUCCUUCUUGGAGCAAUAGUUCGUGAAGAGGUUGGUUAACAGCAGUUCUGUGCCCAGGUAAAUGAGAGGCAACUGAUAAGAGGAACUCGUUGUGUAUAAAAUCUUAGGAUUCUAGAUUUAGGACCUUUAAGGCAGUAUUUGAAUUAGUGCUCUGGAAUGUCUAUGAAGAAAGUUUGGGUCUCUUCAGCCAGAAUUCAGACCAUUUCAACAUUGCAUUCCAUGUAUCAUACACAUAUCUCCUUUUAUUAUUAUUUUUUCUGCUCUCAAAGCAGAUUUCUCUCAUUGUAAAAUUAGUAGAUUCUUAAUUCAGAAGAUUGGAGAAUAUUAAAAAAAGCUUAAAGUAAAGCACUUUGAACACUUUAUUCCAAAUCACUUCACCUCAUUUGUGAAUAAGUGCAUGGAUAUAGGCUUAUAGGACUUUUUCAUUCAAAACAGGGUUAUAUAACAAUUGUUUUGAAAUCUACUUGUUUCUUCUAACAAAAUAUAGUGAACAAAUUUUCAUGUCACUAAAUUAUGAACUGUGUCAUAAUCUUUUAAUGGCUGCACUGUUCUGUUUGUAUAUGUAAGUUCUUUCCAGCUUUUUCCCAUUAUAUGCAAUGUUUUACUGCAUAUGCCUUUUCUGUGCACAUGUGAAUUGUAUAUUUUGGAUAGUCUUAGAUAUUUUGCUGAGAAUGAGGUUUUCAUAGUUAAAACCUGUUUACACAUCUAUAUCAAUUGCCCUGAUUAAGUUUGCACCAAUAUUCAACAUACUAUGAGAAUGUCUAUUCGCUACUAUAUGGUAUCAUUAGUCUUUUAUUAUUAUUUUAUUUUAUUAUUAUUAUUAUUUGAGACAGAGUCUCACUCUUGUUGCCAGGCUAGAGUGCAGUGGCAUGAUCUCGGCUUACUGCAACCCCCGCCUCCAAGGUUCCAGCAAUUCCCCCACCUCAGCCUCCCAAGUAGCUGGGACUACAAGGCGCAUGUCACCACGCAUGGCUAAUUUUUGGUUUUUAGUAGAGACGGGGUUUCACCAUGUUGGCCAGGAUGGUCUCCAUCUCCUGACCUUGUGAUCCGUCUGCCUUGGCCUCCCAAAGUGCUGGGAUUACAGGCGUGAGCCAUUGCACCUGGCCAUCAUUAGUCUUUUAAAUCCACCAAUCCAGUAGAAAUUAUAUUUAUUUAAAUGAAUUACCCAUGCACAGGUUUCAUUCAGUGUAAUAAAAUAUGGGCUUCAGAAACAAAAACCAGAACUGAAAGAAAAUUGGUUUUGUAGGUAGAAAAAUGUGAUUUAAAAAUGCAGAUAUGCCAUUUAUUUUGAGGGUGUAUAGCUCACCCCUGUAAUCCCAGCACUUUCGGAGGCUGAGACGGGUGGAACACUUGAGCCCAGGAGUUUGAGACCAGCCUGGGCAAUAUGGUGAAACCCCGUAUCUACUAAAAAUACAAAAAAUUAGCUGGGUGUGGUGGUGCACCUGUAGUCCUAGCUACUUGGGAGGCUGAGAUGGGAGGAUCACCUGAGCCCAAGGAUAUUGAGGCUGUAGUGAGCCGUGAUUGUGCCAAUGCACUCCAACCUGAGCGUUGGAGUGAGACCAUGCCUCAAAAAAACAAAAACAAAAAACUCUUAAAAUCGAGGGAAAGACCCAAAAACCCGAUAGAAAAAGUGAGUAAAAGAAAUGAACACAUGAAAUCACACACACACAGACACACACACACACAAAGAGAGAGAGAGGAAGCACAAAUUUUAAAAUUAUAGCGUGCUGGCUUUUUAAAAAAAUAAACCCAGCUGGGUGUGGUGGCUCACGCCUGUAAUCCCAGCACUUUGGGAGGCUGACAUGGGCGGAUCACGAGGUCAGGAGAUUGAGACCAUCCUGGCUAACAUGGUGAAACCCUGUCUCUACUAAAAAUACAAAAAAUUAGCUGGGCGUGGUGGAGGGCACCUGUAGUCCCAGCUACUCGGGAGGCUGAGGGAGGAGAAUGGCGUGAACCUGGGAGGUGGAGCUUGCAGUGAGCCAAGAUGGUGCCGCUGCUCCCCAGCUUGGGCGGCAGAGUGAG
rnacentral:lncRNA from 1 species